GACGAACGCUGGCGGCGUGCCUAAUACAUGCAAGUAGAACAGUUGCGAACGGCUGAGUAACGCGUAGGUAACUGCCUCAUAGCGGGGGAUAACUAUUGGAAACGAUAGCUAAUACCGCAUACUGUGAGAUGGACCUGCGUUGGAUUAGCUAGGUGGGGAGGUAAAGGCUCACCAAGGCGACGAUACAUAGCCGACCUGAGAGGGUGAUCGGCCCACCUGGGACUGGUCACCGGCCCAGACUCCUACGGGAGGCAGCAGUAGGGAAUCUUCGGCCAUUGACGGAAGUCUGGCCGAGCAACGCCGCGUUAAUGAAGAAGGUUUUCGGGUCGUAAAGCUCUGUUGUUAGAGAAGCGGUACCUAACCAGAAAGGGACGGCUAACUACGUGCCAGCAGCCGCGGUAAUUC
rnacentral:rRNA from 1 species